UGGAGCUCUAUGGUAGAGCAUGUGCUUGGCAGGCAUGAGAACCUAGGUUCAAUUCCCAGCA
rnacentral:tRNA from 1 species